rnacentral:rRNA from 1 species
AUUAUAAAUUUAAUUAUUAUUAUUGAUUUUUUAAAGUAUUAUUUUAUUUAUUAUUAUAAAAGAAAAAUUAAUUUUUUAUUAUAGUUUACUAGUAAAGUGAUUGAAUUUAUUUAUAUAUUAAUAAGAAAAAUUUAUUUUUUGUACCUUGUGUAUCAGGGUUGAUUAAUUUUAUAAUUAUUAUUAAUUUUUCUCGAAUUAAGAAGAGCUAAUUAUGUAUAUGUUUAAUUUUUUCAUAAAUUUUCAUAAUAUAUAAUUUGAAAUGAAAUGUUAUUCGUUUCUUAAUAUAUCUAGUUUUCUAAGAAAAGAAUUUAAUUCUCUUAUUAUUUAUUAUUAGUUAACUUUUAGUUAAUAAUUUUUAGUAUGAAAUAAAUAAAGGGAUAAGCUUUUAUUUUAAUAAUUAAAAAUUUAUUUGGUUUUAUUUUUUGUAUAAUUUAAAUUGUUAAUCAUUUUUAUAAUAUAAUAGUUAAUUUUAUUUAAUUAAUGAUUUAUAUUUAUUUUAAUUUUUUUAUUAAAAAUUUAUGUUUAAUUUUUUAGCUUUUUUAUAAUGAUUAAAUUAGUAGAUAAAUAUGUAUUUUAUUAUUUAUUUUUAAGAUAAUAAAAAGGAACUCGGCAAAUAAAUUUUUCGCCUGUUUAUUAAAAACAUGUCUUUUUGAUUAUAAUUUAAGGUUUAAUCUGCUCAAUGAUUUAUUAAAUUGCCGCAGUAUUUUGACUGUGCAAAGGUAGCAUAAUAAUUAGCUUUUUUAUUGAGAGCUGGAAUGAAUGAUUGGACGAAAAAAUUUCUGUCUCUUUAUUAUUUAUUAUUUAAUUUUACUUUUAAGUUAAAAGGCUUAAAUUUUUUUAAAAGACGAGAAGACCCUAUAGAGUUUUAUUUUUAUUUUUUGAUUAAUUUUUAGAAUUUAAAAUAUUUUAUAAAAUAAAAAAUUUAGUUGGGGUGACUGAAAGAUUAAUUAAACUCUUUUAAUUGAAAUCAUUUAUUUAUGAAUAGAGAAAUUAUUUUUAUAAAUUUAAAAUAAAUUACCUUAGGGAUAACAGCGUUAUUUUUCUUUAGAGUUCUUAUUGAAAGGAAAGAUUGCGACCUCGAUGUUGGAUUAAAAUUUAUUUUUGGUGUAGAAGCUUAAAUAUUAAGUCUGUUCGACUUUUAAAAUUUUACAUGAUCUGAGUUUAAACCGGUGUAAGCCAGGUUGGUUUCUAUCUUUAAAUUUUUAAUAUAUUUUAGUACGAAAGGACCAAAUAUAUAAUAUAUUAUUUUAUUUUGAAUAAUAUU